GGGUCGUUAGCUCAGUGGUAGAGCAUCCGACUUUUAAUCGGAUGGUCGAAGGUUCGAAUCCUUCACGACCCA
rnacentral:tRNA from 1 species